AUAGAAUCUACAACAAUAUCCUAAAUUGUCUAUAUAAACUCGCUUACAAUGUCUCACUUAUCCUAAAUUCGAUCUCAUUGUUAAGUAAACAUUUAAACUCCAUACUACAGAAACAGAAAGAUGUCAUCCUGUCAAGAAAAGAUGCCUGGCUGCCAAGGGAAGAAAUCAUGGCCGGAACUAGUUGGAAAAGAUGGGGAAGAGGCAGCAGAAAUAAUCAAAUCCGAAAACUGUUUCGUGAAGCUGACUGUCGUCGUACCAGAGGGUAGCCUAACAAUUUUUGACUUUAGGUGUGACCGUGUUUUUAUUUUUGUUGAUUCCUGUAAAAAGGUGGUCCAUACUCCCUCCAUUGGAUAAGUUAAAACAUGUUAUGUGAUGUGCACUACUUAAUAUCAUAUUGUAGUAAAUGAAAUGUGCACUACUCGAUCUUGAACUGCCUAUGUAGUUAUGAAGUAUGUACUUAUGUACUACCACUAGGUAGUGAUCAUGAUGAUCCAUAUAUAACAUCAAUGAUAAUGUUUGUUUCCAUUGUUUACGUACUA